rfam:Devosia soli strain GH2-10 NODE_14, whole genome shotgun sequence.
GGGCAGCGCCGGGCCCCUCUGGUCAUGGUCCCCCAUGGCGAUGUCGGAGCUGCUCC